AGUGAACGCUGGCGGUAGGCCUAACACAUGCAAGUCGAACGGCAGCACAGUAAGAGCUUGCUCUUACGGGUGGCGAGUGGCGGACGGGUGAGGAAUACAUCGGAAUCUACUUUUUCGUGGGGGAUAACGUAGGGAAACUUACGCUAAUACCGCAUACGACCUACGGGUGAAAGCAGGGGUUCUUCGGACCUUGCGCGAUUGAAUUAGCCGAUGUCGGAUUAGCUAGUUGGCGGGGUAAAGGCCCACCAAGGCGACGAUCCGUAGCUGGUCUGAGAGGAUGAUCAGCCACACUGGAACUGAGACACGGUCCAGACUCCUACGGGAGGCAGCAGUGGGGAAUAUUGGACAAUAGGCGCAAGCCUGAUCCAGCCAUACCGCGUGGGUGAAGAAGGCCUUCGGGUUGUAAAGCCCUUUUGUUGGGAAAGAAAAGCAGCAGGUUAAUACCCCGCUGCUCUGACGGUACCCAAAGAAUAAGCACCGGCUAACUUCGUG
rnacentral:rRNA from 1 species